rnacentral:rRNA from 1 species
CCUACGGGGGGCAGCAGUGAGGAAUAUUGGUCAAUGGACGCAAGUCUGAACCAGCCAUGCAGCGUGCAGGAAGACGGCUCUAUGAGUUGUAAACUGCUUUUGUACGAGGGUAAACGCAGACACGCGUAUCUGUCUGAAAGUAUCGUACGAAUAAGGAUCGGCUAACUCCGUGCCAGCAGCCGCGGUAAUACGGAGGAUUCAAGCGUUAUCCGGAUUUAUUGGGUUUAAAGGGUGCGUAGACGGGUGGUUAAGUUAGUGGUGAAAUCCCGCGGCUCAACCUUGAAAUUGCCACUGAUACUGGUCGGCUUGAGAGCAGUUGCGGUAGGCGGAAUGUGUGGUGUAGCGGUGAAAUGCUUAGAGAUCAUACAGAACACCGAUUGCGAAGGCAGCUUACCAAGCUACUUCUGACAUUGAGGCACGAAAGUGUGGGGAGCAAACAGGAUUAGAUACCCUUGUAGUC